GAUGAACGCUGGCGGCGUGCUUAACACAUGCAAGUCGAACGAAGCACUUUAUUUGAUUUCCUUCGGGACUGAUUAUUUUGUGACUGAGUGGCGGACGGGUGAGUAACGCGUGGGUAACCUGCCUUGUACAGGGGGAUAACAGUUGGAAACGGCUGCUAAUACCGCAUAAGCGCACGGCAUCGCAUGAUGCAGUGUGAAAAACUCCGGUGGUAUAAGAUGGACCCGCGUUGGAUUAGCUAGUUGGUGAGGUAACGGCCCACCAAGGCGACGAUCCAUAGCCGACCUGAGAGGGUGACCGGCCACAGUGGGACUGAGACACGGCCCAAACUCCUACGGGAGGCAGCAGUGGGGAAUAUUGCACAAUGGGCGAAAGACUGAUGCAGCGACGCCGCGUGAGCGAAGAAGUAUUUCGGUAUGUAAAGCUCUAUCAGCAGGGAAGAUAAUGACGGUACCUGACUAAGAAGCACCGGCUAAAUACGUG
rnacentral:rRNA from 1 species